rnacentral:rRNA from 1 species
GUGGGGAAUCUUGCGCAAUGGGCGAAAGCCUGACGCAGCCAUGCCGCGUGAAUGAUGAAGGUCUUAGGAUUGUAAAAUUCUUUCACCGGGGACGAUAAUGACGGUACCCGGAGAAGAAGCUCCGGCUAACUUCGUGCCAGCAGCCGCGGUAAUACGAGGGGGCUAGCGUUGCUCGGAAUUACUGGGCGUAAAGGGCGCGUAGGCGGACAGGUUAGUCAGAGGUGAAAGCCCAGGGCUCAACCUUGGAAUUGCCGUUGCUACUGGCUGUGUUGAGUACGGGAGAGGGGAGUGGAACUCCGAGUGUAGAGGUGAAAUUCGUAGAUAUUCGGAAGAACACCAGUGGCGAAGGCGACUCACUGGCCCGUUACUGACGCUGAGGCGCGAAAGCGUGGGGAGCAAACAGGAUUAGAUACCCCUGUAGUCC